ACUUUGAUUAUGGCUCGGGACGAACGCUGGCGGCGCGCCUAACACAUGCAAGUCGAGCGGAAAGCUUUUUAAGGAUUCUUCGGAUGAAUUAAAAAGUGGAGAGCGGCGGACGGGUGAGUAACGCGUGAGAAACCUGCCCUAUACAGGGGGAUAGCCAUUGGAAACGAUGAUUAAUACCCCAUAUGACCACAGUAUCGCAUGAUACAGCGGUGAAAACUCCGGUGGUAUAGGAUGGUCUCGCGUCUGAUUAGCUAGUUGGUGGGGUAACGGCCUACCAAGGCGACGAUCAGUAGCCGGCCUGAGAGGGUGACCGGCCACACUGGAACUGAGGCACGGUCCAGACUCCUACGGGAGGCAGCAGUGGGGAAUAUUGCACAAUGGGCGAAAGCCUGAUGCAGCGACGCCGCGUGAACGAUGAAGGCUUUCGAGUCGUAAAGUUCUGUUCUUGGGGAAGAUAACGACGGUACCCAAGGAGAAAGCACCGGCUAAAUACGUGCCAGCAGCCGCGGUA
rnacentral:rRNA from 1 species